GUUGUGGAGCCGUCGAGAACGCGGAACAUUCGCAUGAGAAGUCGCCGCAUUCGUUGAUUUCCGCCGGAAUCUAGCGUUCAAUUUGCCAGUAAUGCGCCAAGUGAACAAGUGAAUUUCCACGGAGAUCGCGACCCGUAACUUUGUGUUUCCACGGAGUUUCGUUACGAAACUGCAUGUUCUGUGCGGCGUUGUACUUGCAAGUUGCAACAUCCAACAAUUUGCAACAGCAAAUCUAUUAAUAAACCGGGCGAAGGGUGAACAAAUUGUGAUGUGUGGCCCCAAAUCUCAAAUCAAAAUCCAACGCAAGUGAACAAUGUGUGUGCACUGAGUUUGCAUAAUUGGGAAUUUGCUAUUUUAAUCGACUGCAGGCACUAAUUACACAGACAGAUAUAACCAGACGGAUCCGGAAAGACCACCUAUUGUACAGCCGAAACAGCGCACACCUUCCCGGCUGAUCCCCAUCCGAUCCCAGAGAUCCAAGAGAUCCAAGAUAUCCAAUAGAACCAAGAGAUCCAAGAGCUAGAGCAGUGACCAACAUGGAUAAUUGGAAUGUUUUGGCAGCGCAAACCUCUUCGCAGGCCAUCGGACUACACGACUCGGGCGUGGUGAAGACCCGACUGACCAUCGAGAAGCUGCCCGACAAGGUGCUGCUGCACAUCUUCUCGUACCUGUCGCACCGCGAGAUCUGCCGCCUGGCGCGGAUCUGCCGUCGAUGGCGCCAGAUUGCCUACGACACGCGCCUCUGGAAGAACGUGAGCCUGCGGCCGGAGGUCUCGGGUCUGCACGUGGGCUCCCUGGAGAUGCUGCUGCAGCUGAUCUCGGUGAGAUUUGGCCCGACGCUGCGCUACAUCGAGCUGCCCAUCGAACUGAUUACGCACACGGUGCUCCAUGAGCUGUCCGCCAAGUGUCCCAAUUUGACGCACAUGCUGCUGGACUUCUCCACAGCCAUGCAGCUGCACGACUUCAGCGAGAUGCAGGCCUUUCCCACCAAGCUGCGCUACAUGUGCGUCUGCCUGUCGGAGGUGAUCUUCAUGGAGGGCUUCAUGCGCAAGAUCUACAACUUCAUCAACGGCCUGGAGGUGCUGCACCUGAUCGGCACCUACGAGAAGUGCGAGGAGGAGGAGGAGGAGAUCUACGAGGUGAUCAACGUGCACAAGCUCAAGUCGGCCACGCCCAAUCUGCGUGUGAUCAAUCUGUAUGGCAUCAACUUCAUCGACGACUCGCACAUCGACGCCUUCAGCUCCAACUGCAUCCAGCUGGAGUGCCUGGCCGUCAACUUCUGCAACAAGGUGACCGGCUCCACCCUGAAGACCCUCAUCCAGCGCUCCAAGCGCCUCACCUGCCUGCUGAUGAACGGCACCAGUUUGAAGUCCGAGUUCGUCAUGCAGGCCGAGUGGGACAAGUGCGCCCUGCAGGAGCUGGACAUCACGGCCACGGAUCUGUCGCCCGAGUGCCUCGUGGACAUGCUGACCAGGAUACCCAGCCUCAAGUUCCUGUCGGCCGGCCAGAUCAAUGGCUUCAACGACGGCGUUCUCAAGCAGUGGAUGGAGUCGGGCACCACCAGAUCCCUCAUUUCGCUGGACCUGGACUCCUCGGACAACAUCUCGGAUGAGGGCCUGCUGAAGUUCAUACAGCGCCAGGGUCACCAGCUGAGCGCCUGCUGCCUCUCGGGCAUGCCGCACAUCACCGACCAGCUGUGGAUGAGCAUCCUGCCCCUGCUGGGCAACUGCAAGAUCAUUGUCAUGGGCACCGCGGAGAAGCUGGGCGUCAACAUUCACGUGGACCAGCUGAUGGACACCAUUGCCUCGAACUGCGGCAACUUGGAGCGCCUGGAGCUGCGCUGGGAUCCGGACAACCUGCGCUUCUCCGACAAGAGCCAAAAGGCCAUCGAUAUUCUGCGCGUCAAGUGCCUCAAGCUGCGCUGCAUGGUGCUCAGCGAUGGUCGCUACUACGAGACGGUGAAGGCGAACUUCGAGCGUGCCGAUCGCAUCACCGUGGUGCGCACCACCACCUGUUGCCGCGUGUCGCCCUACCACCUGCUGCGCAACUACAACGACUUGAUUUUCAACUGAGCAAGUGGGCUGAGCUGCCAAACUUCGGAGCUGAAAGGCAAAAGAGUUGAUUGAGCUCUGGAGGGGAAGAGAAGGCAAUGAAGGCAAUGGAAUGGAAUGACCCACACUUGUAGUCAAAAGGCGGCACAAGCCAUGUUGUUUCUGUGUGUUUUCGCUUACAUUAGACUGUUUUAAUGUUUUCUGUAUUUUCCGCUUCUUUCGUUUAAUUACUUUAAAUCUAAAUAAACGUACAUAGGUAAUUUAAAUAAAAAAACAAAACAAGGA